AGGGACCACGCUGACAUUGCGGUUCCUGUGCACGGUGCGUAACCGCCUGCCGACUGCGCUAGGUGUCGUUAGCC
rnacentral:sRNA from 10 species